GAUGAACGCUGGCGGCGUGCCUAAUACAUGCAAGUCGAGCGAACAGACGAGGAGCUUGCUCCUCUGACGUUAGCGGCGGACGGGUGAGUAACACGUGGAUAACCUACCUAUAAGACUGGGAUAACUUCGGGAAACCGGAGCUAAUACCGGAUAAUAUAUUGAACCGCAUGGUUCAAUAGUUAAAGACGGUUUUGCGGUCACUUAUAGAUGGAUCCGCGCCGCAUUAGCUAGUUGGUAAGGUAACGGCUUACCAAGGCAACGAUGCGUAGCCGACCUGAGAGGGUGAUCGGCCCCACUGGAACUGAGACACGGUCCAGACUCCUACGGGAGGCAGCAGUAGGGAAUCUUCCGCAAUGGGCGAGAGCCUAACGGAGCAACGCCGCGUGAGUGAUGAAGGUCUUCGGAUCGUAAAACUCUGUUAUUAGGGAAGAACAAAUGUGUAAGUAACUAUGCACGUCUUGACGGUACCUAAUCAGAAAGCCACGGCUAACUACGUG
rnacentral:rRNA from 1 species